AUAAUCAUGGAGUAUAAUAAUUAAAUUUAAUAAAUUUAAUAUAACUAUUAAUAGAAUUAGGUUACUAAUAAAUUAAUAACAAUUAAUUUUAAAACCUAAAGGUAAACCUUUAUAUUAAUAAUGUUUUUUUUUAUUAUUUUAAUAAUAAGAAUAAUUAUUAAUAAUAAUAAACUAAGUGAACUGAAACAUCUAAGUAACUUAAGGAUAAGAAAUCAACAGAGAUAUUAUGAGUAUUGGUGAGAGAAAAUAAUAAAGGUCUAAUAAGUAUUAUGUGAAAAAAAUGUAAGAAAAUAGGAUAACAAAUUCUAAGACUAAAUACUAUUAAUAAGUAUAGUAAGUACCGUAAGGGAAAGUAUGAAAAUGAUUAUUUUAUAAGCAAUCAUGAAUAUAUUAUAUUAUAUUAAUGAUGUACCUUUUGUAUAAUGGGUCAGCAAGUAAUUAAUAUUAGUAAAACAAUAAGUUAUAAAUAAAUAGAAUAAUAUAUAUAUAUAAAAAAAUAUAUUAAAAUAUUUAAUUAAUAUUAAUUGACCCGAAAGCAAACGAUCUAACUAUGAUAAGAUGGAUAAACGAUCGAACAGGUUGAUGUUGCAAUAUCAUCUGAUUAAUUGUGGUUAGUAGUGAAAGACAAAUCUGGUUUGCAGAUAGCUGGUUUUCUAUGAAAUAUAUGUAAGUAUAGCCUUUAUAAAUAAUAAUUAUUAUAUAAUAUUAUAUUAAUAUUAUAUAAAGAAUGGUACAGCAAUUAAUAUAUAUUAGGGAACUAUUAAAGUUUUAUUAAUAAUAUUAAAUCUCGAAAUAUUUAAUUAUAUAUAAUAAAGAGUCAGAUUAUGUGCGAUAAGGUAAAUAAUCUAAAGGGAAACAGCCCAGAUUAAGAUAUAAAGUUCCUAAUAAAUAAUAAGUGAAAUAAAUAUUAAAAUAUUAUAAUAUAAUCAGUUAAUGGGUUUGACAAUAACCAUUUUUUAAUGAACAUGUAACAAUGCACUGAUUUAUAAUAAAUAAAAAAAUAAUAUUUAAAAUCAAAUAUAUAUAUAUUUGUUAAUAGAUAAUAUACGGAUCUUAAUAAUAAGAAUUAUUUAAUUCCUAAUAUGGAAUAUUAUAUUUUUAUAAUAAAAAUAUAAAUACUGAAUAUCUAAAUAUUAUUAUUACUUUUUUUUUUUUAAUAAUAAUAAUAUGGUAAUAGAACAUUUAAUGAUAAUAUAUAUUAGUUAUUAAUUAAUAUAUGUAUUAAUUAAAUAGAGAAUGCUGACAUGAGUAACGAAAAAAAGGUAUAAACCUUUUCACCUAAAACAUAAGGUUUAACUAUAAAAGUACGGCCCCUAAUUAAAUUAAUAAGAAUAUAAAUAUAUUUAAGAUGGGAUAAUCUAUAUUAAUAAAAAUUUAUCUUAAAAUAUAUAUAUUAUUAAUAAUUAUAUUAAUAAUAUAUAUAAUUAUAUUAUAUAUUAUAUAUUUUUUUUUAUAUAAUAUAAACUAAUAAAGAUCAGGAAAUAAUUAAUGUAUACCGUAAUGUAGACCGACUCAGGUAUGUAAGUAGAGAAUAUGAAGGUGAAUUAGAUAAUUAAAGGGAAGGAACUCGGCAAAGAUAGCUCAUAAGUUAGUCAAUAAAGAGUAAUAAGAACAAAGUUGUACAACUGUUUACUAAAAACACCGCACUUUGCAGAAACGAUAAGUUUAAGUAUAAGGUGUGAACUCUGCUCCAUGCUUAAUAUAUAAAUAAAAUUAUUUAACGAUAAUUUAAUUAAAUUUAGGUAAAUAGCAGCCUUAUUAUGAGGGUUAUAAUGUAGCGAAAUUCCUUGGCCUAUAAUUGAGGUCCCGCAUGAAUGACGUAAUGAUACAACAACUGUCUCCCCUUUAAGCUAAGUGAAAUUGAAAUCGUAGUGAAGAUGCUAUGUACCUUCAGCAAGACGGAAAGACCCUAUGCAGCUUUACUGUAAUUAGAUAGAUCGAAUUAUUGUUUAUUAUAUUCAGCAUAUUAAGUAAUCCUAUUAUUAGGUAAUCGUUUAGAUAUUAAUGAGAUACUUAUUAUAAUAUAAUGAUAAUUCUAAUCUUAUAAAUAAUUAUUAUUAUUAUUAUUAAUAAUAAUAAUAUGCUUUCAAACAUAGUGAUAAAACAUAUUUAUAUGAUAAUCACUUUACUUAAUAGAUAUAAUUCUUAAGUAAUAUAUAAUAUAUAUUAUAUAUAUAUUAUAUAUAAUAUAAGAGACAAUCUCUAAUUGGUAGUUUUGAUGGGGCGUCAUUAUCAGCAAAAGUAUCUGAAUAAGUCCAUAAAUAAAUAUAUAAAAUUAUUGAAUAAAAAAAUAAUAUAUAUUAUAUAUAUUAAUUAUAAAUUGAAAUAUGUUUAUAUAAAUUUAUAUUUAUUGAAUAUAUUUUAGUAAUAGAUAAAAAUAUGUACAGUAAAAUUGUAAGGAAAACAAUAAUAACUUUCUAAAAAAAAAUAAUUAUGGAAAGAAUUAAAUUAAUAUAAUGGUAUAACUGUGCGAUAAUUGUAACACAAACGAGUGAAACAAGUACGUAAGUAUGGCAUAAUGAACAAAUAACACUGAUUGUAAAGGUUAUUGAUAACGAAUAAAAGUUACGCUAGGGAUAACAGGGUAAUAUAACGAAAGAGUAGAUAUUGUAAGUUAUGUUUGCCACCUCGAUGUCGACUCAACAUUUCCUCUUGGUUGUAAAAGCUAAGAAGGGUUUGACUGUUCGUCAAUUAAAAUGUUACGUGAGUUGGGUUAAAUACGAUGUGAAUCAGUAUGGUUCCUAUCUGCUGAAGGAAAUAUUAUCAAAUUAAAUCUCAUUAUUAGUACGCAAGGACCAUAAUGAAUCAACCCAUGGUGUAUCUAUUGAUAAUAAUAUAAUAUAUUUAAUAAAAAUAAUACUUUAUUAAUAUAUUAUCUAUAUUAGUUUAUAUUUUAAUUAUAUAUUAUCAUAGUAGAUAAGCUAAGUUGAUAAUAAAUAAAUAUUGAAUACAUAUUAAAUAUGAAGUUGUUUUAAUAAGAUAAUUAAUCUGAUAAUUUUAUACUAAAAUUAAUAAUUAUAGGUUUUAUAUAUUAUUUAUAAAUAAAUAUAUUAUAAUAAUAAUAAUUAUUAUUAUUAAUAAAAAAUAU
rnacentral:rRNA from 1 species